GCUUACGGCCACACCGGCCUGAGUACGCCUGAUCUCGUCCGAUCUCGGAAGCUAAGCAGGGUCGGGCCUGGUUAGUACUUGGAUGGGAGACAACCUGGCAAUACCAGGUGCUGUAAGCU
rnacentral:rRNA from 1 species